UACGUAGGGUGCGAGCGUUGUCCGGAAUUAUUGGGCGUAAAGAGCUCGUAGGCGGCUUGUCACGUCGGAUGUGAAAACCCGGGGCUCAACCCCGGGCCUGCAUUCGAUACGGGCAGGCUAGAGUUCGGCAGGGGAGACUGGAAUUCCAGGUGUAGCGGUGAAAUGCGUAGAUAUCUGGAGGAACACCGGUGGCGAAGGCGGCAUCCUGGACCAAUAUUGACGCUGAGGAGCGAAAGCCAGGGGAGCAAACGGG
rnacentral:rRNA from 1 species